rnacentral:rRNA from 1 species
GCUUGUCUCAAAGAUUAAGCCAUGCAUGUCUAAGUACAAGCCUCAGUAAGGUGAAACCGCGAAUGGCUCAUUAAAUCACACCUAAUCUACUGGAAAGUUACUAGUUACUUGGAUAACUGAGGUAAUUCUUGAGCUAAUACAUGCGAAAAAUCUCGACUCACGGAGAGAUGCUUUUAUUAGAUCAAAACCAAACGGCUUCGGCCGUCUCAUUGGUGACUCUGAAUAACUUUGCGAAUCGCAUGGCCUUGCGCCGGCGAUGAAUCAUUCAAAUUUCUGCCCUAUCAACUUUCGAUGGUAAGGUAUUGGCUUACCAUGGUCGCAACGGGUAACGGGGAAUAAGGGUUCGGUUCCGGAGAGGGAGCCUGAGAAAUGGCUACCACAUCCAAGGAAGGCAGCAGG